ACAGCAGCAGCCGCGGUAAGACGAACCGUGCGAACGUUAUACGGAAUCACUGGGCUUAAAGCGCGUGUAGGCGGAUGGGAGCGUCGGCCUCUGAAAUCCCCCGGCUCAACCGGGGAAGUGGAGCCGAAACGACCCGUCUGGAGGGACGUAGGGGGACCUGGAACUUCCGGUGGAGCGGUGAAAUGCGUUGAGAUCGGAAGGAACGCCCGUGGCGAAAGCGAGGUCCUGGACGUCUGCUGACGCUGAGACGCGAAAGCCAGGGGAGCGAACGGGAUUAGAUACCCCCGUAGUCCCUGUCUCUUAUA
rnacentral:rRNA from 1 species